CCUACGGGCGGCAGCAGUGGGGAAUAUUGGGCAAUGGGCGAAAGCCUGACCCAGCAACGCCGCGUGAAGGAAGAAGGCUUUCGGGUUGUAAACUUCUUUUGACAGGGAAGAGCAGAAGACGGUACCUGUCGAAUAAGCCACGGCUAACUACGUGCCAGCAGCCGCGGUAAUACGUAGGUGGCAAGCGUUGUCCGGAUUUAUUGGGUUUAAAGGGUGCGCAGGCGGGAGAUCAAGUCAGCGGUAAAAUGUCGGGGCUCAACCCCGGCCGGCCGUUGAAACUGGUUUUCUAGAGUUGGAGAGAAGUAUGCGGAAUUCGUGGUGUAGCGGUGAAAUGCAUAGAUAUCACGAAGAACUCCGAUUGCGAAGGCAGCAUACCGGCUCCAUACUGACGCUGAGGCACGAAAGCGUGGGGAUCGAACAGGAUUAGAUACCCGGGUAGUC
rnacentral:rRNA from 1 species